AGGGCUUUUGUGGCUUUGCCCGCCCAGCUGCUCUGUGCCAGGAGGAGGAGACACCUGGAGCCUGUGACACCAUGGCUUGCCUCGCUGAGGGUGGCUGGCAGUGACGGAGACUGCAGCGUGCUGGAACGGCUUUUGUGGCUUUGCCCGCCCAGCUGCUCUGUGCCAGGAGGAGGAGGAGACACCUGGAGCCUGUGACACCACGGCUUGCCUCGCUGAGGGUGGGUGGCAGUGACGGAGACUGCAGCGUGCUGGAACUGUAGGAGAGUGACCACGCUAGGAGGUCAGGCGGCUGCAGCCAGGGU
rnacentral:lncRNA from 1 species